rnacentral:rRNA from 1 species
GCGUGCCUAAUACAUGCAAGUCGAGCGAAUCUUUGGGAGCUUGCUCCCAUUGGUUAGCGGCGGACGGGUGAGUAACACGUGGGCAACCUGCCUGUAAGACUGGGAUAACUUCGGGAAACCGGAGCUAAUACGGAUAAUCUUUUUCCUCUCAUGAGGAAAAACUGAAAGACGGUUUCGGCUGUCACUUACAGAUGGGCCCGCGGCGCAUUAGCUAGUUGGUGAGGUAACGGCUCACCAAGGCGACGAUGCGUAGCCGACCUGAGAGGGUGAUCGGCCACACUGGGACUGAGACACGGCCCAGACUCCUACGGGAGGCAGCAGUAGGGAACUUCCACAAUGGACGAAAGUCUGAUGGAGCAACGCCGCGUGAGCGAUGAAGGCCUUCGGGUCGUAAAGCUCUGUUGUUAGGGAAGAACAAGUAUCGGAGUAACUGCCGGUACCUUGACGGUACCUAACCAGAAAGCCACGGCUAACUACGUGCCAGCAGCCGCGGUAAUACGUAGGUGGCAAGCGUUGUCCGGAAUUAUUGGGCGUAAAGCGCGCGCAGGCGGUCCUUUAAGUCUGAUGUGAAAGCCCACGGCUCAACCGUGGAGGGUCAUUGGAAACUGGGGGACUUG